rnacentral:lncRNA from 1 species
GUUUACAGCUGGGUAGGUCUGCAGGUGGCAGCUAAUGUAUUGUACAGGUGGCUGCAUAAAUCCUGAUUCAUUUCAGCUGGAGGAGGUAGUGUUCUCCCUGGAAUAUGUUUAGUUCGCCUGGGUCUAGGGCAGACAGCCCUGGUCAUACCAAAGCCAGUGUUUGAGAGUUUGAGAUGAGAAUAAGAAGAAUCUUUGGAACAUGGUUUUCAUCAGGAAACUGGCUACAGAGGUGACAGAAGAGCUUUGAAGCCAAAGAAGAGAUGGGUAUUAGCAGUAACAGGGAGCCACCUCUGGCCCUGGGUCACAGGGAGAGCCCAGGCAGGUGAACCAAAUUAUAGUCUUAAUAUGCCAAAUAGGACCCAAGAUACCUCAAGUACAUUGUGAAAGGAAUAUAUUUGCUGAGGACAGCAGAGGAGAAAGAGAAAGAAUCAUUUCUAAAUAAAAUGCUGACUUCUGAGUUAUCUGCAUUAAGGUUCAUAGGUGGAAGGGAGUUGGCUUGUCUCAGAUAAGACUUUGGACUAUGGACUUUUGAGUAAAUGCUGAAAUGAAUUGACACUUUCGGAGACUGUUGGGAAGGCAUGAUUGGUUUUGAUGAAAUUUGAGAGAGGCCAGGGGCAGAAUGAUAUGGUUUGGCUCUGUGUCCCCACCCAAAUCUCAUCUUGUAGCUCCCAUAAUUCCCACGUUUUAUGGGAGGGACCCAGUGGGACACGAUUGAAUCAUGGCAGUGGGGAGUAGGUCUCUCCUGUGCUGUUCUCUUGAUAGUGAAUGGGUCUCAUGAGAUCUGACAGUUUUAAAAAUGGGAGUCUCCCUGCACAAGCUCUCUUUUUGCCUGCCACCAUCCAUGUAAGUUGUGAUUUGAUCCUCCUUGCCUUCCACCAUGAUUGUGAGG